CGUUCACUCUCAACUCCAUCGCCCUUUCUCUCUCAAUCCUUUCGAAUCUGCUCUUCAAUGGCUUCCGCCUACUCAGAAAUUCAACACAACGUGACUCAAGCUCGGUCGAUUUUUCCUUUCCAGGGUACUCCGGCUGCGAAUCCAGAAAGUAGAAGUUUCCAAAACAAUAAUGAAUUGCAAAUCUGGAAUUGAAUCCUGCUGUUGCUCCAAUUGAAUUUUAGUGCGCUCCAAUUAGGGUUCUAUAAAUUUGGGUGAAAUUCCUGGGUUUGAUCGAUCUUCUUCAAUUAUCGGGAUUUUAGUUAAUUUUUAGUUUGCUGAGGUUUCUGCAAUUUGUUUUUGAGAAAAUGGGAAAGCGUGGAAAUAAUCAGAAGAAAGCUCCUCGAAAUUUGAAGAAAAUGAAGCUGAAUAAUGAAGAUGUGAAAAAAUUCAAUAGUAUGGAGGAUGAAAUUGAUGUCUGUA